GGAGAGGUGCCGGAGCGGUCGAACGGGCUUGACUCGAAAUCAAGUGAAGGUGUAAGCCUUCCCAGGGUUCGAAUCCCUGCCUCUCCGCCA
rnacentral:tRNA from 1 species